rnacentral:lncRNA from 1 species
GGAAGGUUAAUGAUGUGAAACUCUGCAGACAAAAUGAAGCUACUAUCCUCUUUCUGCUGACAAGACCACAGUAAUGCAAUGUGACAAAUUAGAAAGAGAGGAAUAGAAUCUUAGAUGGAAAUUCCGUUUAGCAUGUAUUUUUCCCAGCAGUGCCUCCACUUGACUAGGUAGUAUGUAAAUGUGCAUAAACUUUUUAAAUUUAUGGUUAAGAGGGUUCAUGAUGUUAUAAUUAAGAGACAAACUAGGUCAAGUUAUAACAUAUUCUAUGCCAUCCCAUAACAUAUCUUUGAAUUUCUUUGUAUUUAGUAAUCUUUGAAAUGGAAGCAAAUCACGAAGUAUGCAAUUACAUGAUUUUUGCAGCACUACAAAGUAUGCUUUUUAUGAAUCUCAACAUAGACCACAUUAGGCUUUAAAAUAUCACUCACAUUUGAAUUUCAGCAGAAGUGCAUAGAAAAUUUAAAUAUUCAAAGGUACAAUUUUCUGUUAAAAGGCUCAAAAACAUUAUAAAAUCUAUCAUAAAGUCUUUAGCUAAUGAAAAAUUUGUUAAUAGUUCAAUUCAGUUAAAAAAUAUUUACCUCUUUGGGAAGCUGAGGGAGGAAGCUUGCUUAAGCUCAGGAGUUCGAAACCAGCCUGGGCAACAUAGCAAGAACCCAUCUCUACUAAAAAGAAAUUUUAAAAAAUUAGCCAGGCAUGGUGGUAUGCAUCUGUAGUCCUAGCUACUGGGGAGGCUGCGUUGGGGGAGACUGCUUGAGCUUGGGAGAUUGAGGCUGCAGUGCACCAUGAAUGCACACUUUCUUAGGCAAGCAUAUUAUAGAA